CUUCGAGUUCUGCAACAGCCAUUUUGACACGCUACUCCACAGAGCUUGAGUUGUAUAGUGAGCAGGACACAGAGCUAAAAGUCAGGCCUCACAGAUUGUUCCUGGCUAAGCUACUGAGCCAACCUGUGGCCUGGGAAUGCCCAGCAGUCUUCUCGAGGUACCCAUAGGAAAAACGGAGGUGAACACAGUGAUUCCUCUGUGUGGUCGUAUUCUUGGAUUUCUGCCCUUCAGCUUCGAAGGAUACCACCGUGAACCCCCUGAAGACACAGAGAAGAGCAUCUUCCUUCUCUACCUUUUGGAUUGGGUGAAAGACUGAGAACUGCAACCAGCGAGGCUGAUGUUUCUGUGCACACCUUAGUUAGCUGUGCAGCCAGGUUUUCCCAUAUAGAAGGGGCAAUACUAGGAUAGACUUCCUGUUCACAUGUUCAAAGCUGAGCUAAAACUUGUACAGAGCUUUUUUUCCAGGGUAUGAGUGCCAUAAACCUGAAUCAGACUUUCAGAUGCCACAUCCAUUGGCAUCUUGAAGAAGAAAUUCAAGAAAAUGGGCUGAGGCAGACCUGGUGGCAUCUGUCCCCUCUUUAUGGUGAGGGAAAUUCUGGCUAAGGCUGCACUUGCUCAGCUACUUUCCUGCAGGGUCAACAUUGCAUUUCUGGAAUCUGCUGUAGCUUUGGGUCAUGCACUGAGACAGGAAUCAUCUUCUUUUCAGGAUUUAGUAGACCAGGAGGGUUUUUUCCCCUUCUUCUUUAUUAAAUCAUACAUAAUUAGAUAUUAAAUUCAAUUCACUCUUCCUGUUGUUUCGGAGAUGGGCAGAAUCCUUUUUUUUUUUUAAUUAUACUUUAAGUUUUAGGGUAC
rnacentral:lncRNA from 1 species